rnacentral:rRNA from 1 species
ACGAACGCUGGCGGCGUGCUUAACACAUGCAAGUCGAGCGGAAAGGCCCCUUCGGGGGUACUCGAGCGGCGAACGGGUGAGUAACACGUGAGUAACCUGCCCUCGACUCUGGGAUAAGCCUGGGAAACUGGGUCUAAUACCGGAUAUUCACCUUCUGUCGCAUGGUGGGGGGUGGAAAGUUCCCUCUUUUUGGGGGUUCGGUCGGGGAUGGGCUCGCGGCCUAUCAGCUUGUUGGUGGGGUGACGGCCUACCAAGGCGACGACGGGUAGCCGGCCUGAGAGGGCGACCGGCCACACUGGGACUGAGACACGGCCCAGACUCCUACGGGUGGCAGCAGUGGGGAAUCUUGCGCAAUGGGCGAAAGCCUGACGCAGCGACGCCGCGUGGGGGAUGAAGGCCUUCGGGUUGUAAACCCCUUUCAGCACCGACGAAGUUUGGACGGUAGGUGCAGAAGAAGCGCCGGCUAACUACGUGCCAGCAGCCGCGGUAAUACGUAGGGCGCGAGCGUUGUCCGGAAUUAUUGGGCGUAAAGAGCUCGUAGGCGGCUUGUCGCGUCUGUCGUGAAAGCCCACGGCUUAACCGUGGGUUUGCGGUGGAUACGGGCAGGCUAGAGGCAGGUAGGGGAGCAUGGAAUUCCCGGUGUAGCGGUGAAAUGCGCAGAUAUCGGGAGGAACACCGGUGGCGAAGGCGGUGCUCUGGGCCUGUUCUAACGCUGAGGAGCGAAAGCGUGGGGAGCGAACAGGAUUAGAUACCCUGGUAGUCCACGCCGUAAACGUUGGGCGCUAGGUGUGGGGUUCUUC